GACGCCAAGGAUGCUCGAUGAACGCUAAGGAGUACACACUGGUCGCUCUGUUAGGCUCAUUCCGCAUUCCGCAGUCCUGCCUAACUGUUUGAAAUCAGCACCCCUGUGGAAGCGCGUACAAUGGGCAUGAACACGCUAAGUAGCUCAAGAGGUGAAUGUAUCGCCUGAAAAGAGGCUGUUCAGCUUGCAAGCCACCUCGGUUCGGUUGGUAGCCUUCAGUUUUUUCAUGAUUUGGCGGAUAUGGACCUUGACCGUGCUUUCGCGGAGCUUGAGUUCGUAGGCU
rnacentral:sRNA from 1 species